rnacentral:rRNA from 1 species
ACUACGGGAGGCAGCAGUAGGGAAUAUUGCGCAAUGGGCGAAAGCCUGACGCAGCAACGCCGCGUGAACGAGACGCCCUUCGGGGUGUGAAGUUCUGUCAGUGGGGACGAAAAAUGACGGUACCCACAGAGGAAGCACAGGCUAACACCGUGCCAGCAGCCGCGGUAAUACGGGGGGUGCAAGCGUUGUCCGGAAGCAUUGGGCGUAAAGAGUUCGUAGGCGGCAUGUAAAGUCAGGUGGUAGAGGCGCAGGCUCAACCUGUGUAUGGCACUUGAUACUUGCAAGCUGGAGUGCGGUAGAGGUAAAGGGAAUGCCUGGUGUAGCGGUGAAAUGCUUAGAGAUCAGGAGGAACAUCGGUGGCGAAAGCGCUUUACUGGGCCGUAAUUGACGCUGAGGAACGAAAGCCAGGGUAGCAAAUGGGAUUAGAUACCCGGGUAGUC